rnacentral:misc_RNA from 1 species
UUUCCGUAGGUGAACCUGCGGAAGGAUCAUUACCGAGUUCAUGCCUUUACGGGUAGAUCUCCCACCCUUUGUAUACUAUACCUUUGUUGCUUUGGCGGGCCGCCUAGCUACUGGCUUCGGCUGGUAAGUGCCCGCCAGAGGACCCAAAACCCUGAAUUAUUAGUGUCGUCUGAGUAAAAAUAUUUAAUAUUUAAAACUUUCAACAACGGAUCUCUUGGCUCUG